rnacentral:rRNA from 1 species
GAAAGAUGGUUCUGCUAUCACUCUUGGAUGGACCUGCGGUGCAUUAGCUAGUUGGUAAGGUAACGGCUUACCAAGGCAAUGAUGCAUAGCCGAGUUGAGAGACUGAUCGGCCACAUUGGGACUGAGACACGGCCCAAACUCCUACGGGAGGCAGCAGUAGGGAAUCUUCCACAAUGGACGAAAGUCUGAUGGAGCAACGCCGCGUGAGUGAAGAAGGGUUUCGGCUCGUAAAGCUCUGUUGGUAGUGAAGAAAGAUAGAGGUAGUAACUGGCCUUUAUUUGACGGUAAUUACUUAGAAAGUCACGGCUAACUACGUGCCAGCAGCCGCGGUAAUACGUAGGUGGCAAGCGUUGUCCGGAUUUAUUGGGCGUAAAGCGAGUGCAGGCGGUUCAAUAAGUCUGAUGUGAAAGCCUUCGGCUCAACCGGAGAAUUGCAUCAGAAACUGUUGAACUUGAGUGCAGAAGAGGAGAGUGGAACUCCAUGUGUAGCGGUGGAAUGCGUAGAUAUAUGGAAGAACACCAGUGGCGAAGGCGGCUCUCUGGUCUGCAACUGACGCUGAGGCUCGAAAGCAUGGGUAGCGAACAGGAUUAGAUACCCUGGUAGUCCAUGCCGUAAACGAUGAGUGCUAAGUGUUGGGAG